rnacentral:ncRNA from 1 species
UUCAUCCAGAGCAGCUGAGGGACUGGCCCUAUGAAGCUGCGGCAACCCCCAAAUACGGGAAGGUGCCAAUUCCAACGGAUUGUUCCGGCAGAUGA